GAAGGAGGGUGCAAGCGUUGCUCGGACUCACUGGGCGUAAAGAGCACGUAGGCGGCUAGGUAAGUCUGAUGUGAAAGCCCACGACUCAAUCGUGGAAGUGCAUUGGAUACUGCUUAGCUAGAGUGCAGGAGGGGUAAGCGGAAUUCCAGGUGUAGAGGUGAAAUUCGUAGAUAUCUGGAGGAACAACGGUGGCGAAGGCGGCUUACUGGACUGAUACUGACGCUGAGGUGCGAAAGUGUGGGGAGCGAACAGG
rnacentral:rRNA from 1 species